rnacentral:lncRNA from 1 species
UUUUUAGCUCCCCUGGCCCGAAGGGCCAAGUGAGCGUUUCCCAUCACUUUGCGUCCGGCGUCCGUCGUCGUCCGUCGUCGUCCUGCGUUAACUUUUACAAAAAUCUUCUCCUCUGAAACUACUGGGCCAAAUUAAACCAAACUUGGCCACAAUCAUCAUUGGGGUAUCUAGUUUAAAAAAUGUGUCCGGUGACCCCGCCAACCAACCAAG